AUGCACGCUGGCGGCGUGCUUCACACAUGCCAGUCGCACGGAAAGGCUCCUGCUUGCAGGGGUACUCGAGUGGCGAACGGGUGAGUAACACGUGGGUGAUCUGCCCUGCACUUCGGGAUAAGCCUGGGAAACUGGGUCUAAUACCGGAUAGGACCACAUUUUGGAUGGUGUGGUGGAAAGUUUUUCGGUGUGGGAUGAGCUCGCGGCCUAUCAGCUUGUUGGUGGGGUAAUGGCCUACCAAGGCGUCGACGGGUAGCCGGCCUGAGAGGGUGUACGGCCACAUUGGGACUGAGAUACGGCCCAGACUCCUACGGGAGGCAGCAGUGGGGAAUAUUGCACAAUGGGCGCAAGCCUGAUGCAGCGACGCCGCGUGGGGGAUGACGGCCUUCGGGUUGUAAACUCCUUUCGCUAGGGACGAAGCGCAAGUGACGGUACCUGGAGAAGAAGCACCGGCUAACUACGUG
rnacentral:rRNA from 1 species